CAGCAGCCGCGGGAAUGCGGAGGGGGCUAGCGUUGUUCGGAAUUACUGGGCGUAAAGCGUCUGUAGGUGGCUUUUCAAGUCCGCCAUCAAAUCCCAAGGCUCAACCCUGGACAGGCGGUGGAAAAUACCCAGCUGGAGUACGGUAGGGGCAGAGGGAAUUUCCGGUGGAGCGGCGAAAUGCGUUGAGAUUGGAAAGAACACCAACGGUGAAAGCACUCUGCUGGGCCGACACUGACACUGAGAGACGAAAGCUAGGGGAGCAAAUGGGAUUAGAUACCCCGGUAGUCCCUGUCUCUUAUAA
rnacentral:rRNA from 1 species